UCGAGAUUAGUAAACACUUUAUUGGUCAUGACUAGAGAUGAACAAGAGAGAAUGAGAGGGCCUGUGCCAGCAUAUCAAAAAUAAAACAAGUUUACACAAUCCACCUGUCAUGGACAUGGUUUUUUUGGCAUAAACACAGUGGGGCUGGAGCAUUUCUGAGUAACAGAUUAUCAUGAUUUCUAAGCAUUAAAGCCAAUGCGAUGCCAAGACCCAAGAAACAUUUAGGUCUACAGUGGGAUCCAUGGCUGAAAGGGUUAAUACAUGUACAGCAUCUCUAAAGAUCCAACACAGAUUGUCAUUUUGUCA